UACGAAGGGGGCUAGCGUUGUUCGGAAUUACUGGGCGUAAAGCGCACGUAGGCGGCUUUGUAAGUCAGAGGUGAAAGCCUGGAGCUCAACUCCAGAACUGCCUUUGAGACUGCAUCGCUUGAAUCCAGGAGAGGUGAGUGGAAUUCCGAGUGUAGAGGUGAAAUUCGUAGAUAUUCGGAAGAACACCAGUGGCGAAGGCGGCUCACUGGACUGGUAUUGACGCUGAAGUGCGAAAGCGUGGGGAGCAAACAGGG
rnacentral:rRNA from 1 species